rnacentral:rRNA from 1 species
CGAACGGGUGAGUAACACGUGGGCAAUCUGCCCUUCACUCUGGGACAAGCCCUGGAAACGGGGUCUAAUACCGGAUACGACACACGACCGCAUGGUCUGUGUGUGGAAAGCUCCGGCGGUGAAGGAUGAGCCCGCGGCCUAUCAGCUUGUUGGUGGGGUGAUGGCCUACCAAGGCGACGACGGGUAGCCGGCCUGAGAGGGCGACCGGCCACACUGGGACUGAGACACGGCCCAGACUCCUACGGGAGGCAGCAGUGGGGAAUAUUGCACAAUGGGCGAAAGCCUGAUGCAGCGACGCCGCGUGAGGGAUGACGGCCUUCGGGUUGUAAACCUCUUUCAGCAGGGAAGAAGCGAAAGUGACGGUACCUGCAGAAGAAGCGCCGGCUAACUACGUGCCAGCAGCCGCGGUAAUACGUAGGGCGCAAGCGUUGUCCGGAAUUAUUGGGCGUAAAGAGCUCGUAGGCGGCUUGUCACGUCGGAUGUGAAAGCCCGGGGCUUAACCCCGGGUCUGCAUUCGAUACGGGCAGGCUAGAGUUCGGUAGGGGAGAUCGGAAUUCCUGGUGUAGCGGUGAAAUGCGCAGAUAUCAGGAGGAACACCGGUGGCGAAGGCGGAUCUCUGGGCCGAUACUGACGCUGAGGAGCGAAAGCGUGGGGAGCGAACAGGAUUAGAUACCCUGGUAGUCCACGCCGUAAACGUUGGGAACUAGGUGUGGGCGACAUUCCACGUCGUCCGUGCCGCAGCUAACGCAUUAAGUUCCCCGCCUGGGGAGUACGGCCGCAAGGCUAAAACUCAAAGG